GUGGGGAAUUUUGGACAAUGGGCGCAAGCCUGAUCCAGCCAUGCCGCGUGCAGGAUGAAGGCCUUCGUGUUGUAAACUGCUUUUGUACGGAACGAAAAAGCUCUCUCUAAUACAGGGGGUGAAUGACGGUACCGUAAGAAUAAGCACCGGCUAACUACGUGCCAGCAGCCGCGGUAAUACGUAGGGUGCAAGCGUUAAUCGGAAUUACUGGGCGUAAAGCGUGCGCAGGCGGGUAUGUAAGACAGAGGUGAAAUCCCCGGGCUCAACCUGGGAACUGCCUGUGUGACUGCAUAGAUGGAGUGCGGCAGAGGGGGAUGGAAUUCCGCGUGUAGCAGUGAAAUGCGUAGAUAUGCGGAGGAACACCGAUGGCGAAGGCAAUCCCAUGGGCCUGCACUGACGCUCAUGCACGAAAGCGUGGGGAGCAAACAGGAUUAGAUACCCGAGUAGUCC
rnacentral:rRNA from 1 species